rnacentral:rRNA from 1 species
UAUCAACACUAGGUAGUAAAAAACCGCUAUAUACUGGCGGUCUAAACAAAUUAGAGAAACUCGCUUUAGAAUCGUAACCACACGUUAAUUUUAACCUUUAAAUAGAGUUUAUAUACCGCCGUUUCAGAUUAAGCCAACCCCCCUUUCUACAAAUCAACAAUUAUUAAAAAUCAGGUCAAGGUGUAACUUUUAUACAGGCAAAAGUAAGUUACACUAAAAAAAAUUUAAGGACGUAAUUAAAAAUAAAACCUAAAAAAGAAUUUAUUAGUACACAUUAAUUAAAAUUUAAUAUAGAAUUAAAAACAAGACGC